CCAGAGCUGAGUCCCCCCAAUCCCCAAUAUCAGGUCAAAAAAGCCAGACCCUCAGUUCCCAUGCGAGGAAAUACAGUCCCUGCAGGGAGCUGUUCAUUCCUCCCAGGGUCCGAAAGUGUCAGGAGGACCCCAGAGCCCUGUGCCCGGCGCUGCACAGACACACAGGACGGGACACUCUGACUCCUGCAGCCGGAGCCCGAGGGCGAGUCAAUCCGAUCACUGACAGCAGGAGUGUGUGUCUCUUAUAAAGCGGGGCAUGCAAAUGAGGAGACAGUUUCCUGGUUAAAUCUGAGCCUCCCUCUGCCCAGGCUGCACCCGGAGACACAAUCCGCAGCCCCCUGGGUCGGUGCAGUCACCAGCCAGUCCCCUGAGAACUUUCCCCUCCAGCACCCGGGAAAAUGGGAUUUUUGCUCCUUGUCAUUGUCGCUGUAGCAGCUUUGGAAGGUGUCCGGUCCCAGACGCUGGUGGAGUCCGGAGGGGGUGUGAAGAAGCCCGGAGACUCUCUCCGCCUCUCCUGCAAAGCCUCCGGGUUCACCUUCAGCAGCUACGGAUGAGCUGGGUCCGCCAGGCUCCCGGGAAGGGACUGGAAUGGGUCGCUUAUAUAAGCAGCGGUGGGGGUAGUACAUACUACCUCGAUGCAGUGAAAGGGCGAUUCACCAUCUCCAGGGAUAACGCCAAGAGUGAGCUGUAUCUGCAAAUGACCGGCCUGAAGCCCGAGGACACCGCCCGCUAUUACUGUGCGAGAGACACAGUGACACCAAACCGGUUUGUGAUCGUACAAAAACCCAGGCUGCGGAAUCGCCCUUCUCCCGGCGGCCGCGCGGGGGCAGCAGCGACACCCCCCGCUUCGGGCUCGGGCAGGAGACCCGGCACCCGGGGGAACGGGACACAAACCUCCCGCCAGUUUAACCCUUCCGUUCCCGGACUCUGAAUGGCCCAUUUCCCUACCCCAGAGAUGGAGGGCGGGGUGUGGAAAUGGGCCAUGCAGGGUGCGGGCGGGGCUGGGGGGCAGAGAUCACCCGGCGCCGGAAUAAACCCC